GUACCCUCAAGCUUUGCUUGGUGUUGGGCGUCUUGUUGUCUCUCCGUCUUGGGGAGACUCGCCUUAAAACAAUUGGCAGCCGGCCUACUGGUUUCGGAGCGCAGCACAAAUUUGCGCUUGCAAUCAGCCCAGGGCGGCAUCCAUUAAGCCUUUUCUUUCUCACAUU
rnacentral:misc_RNA from 1 species